rnacentral:rRNA from 1 species
CCUACGGGAGGCAGCAGUGAGGAAUAUUGGUCAAUGGACGAGAGUCUGAACCAGCCAAGUCGCGUGCAGGAUGACUGCCCUAUGAGUUGUAAACUUCUUUUAUAUGGGAAUAAAUUGUUCUACGUGUAGGGUUUUGUAUGUACCAUAUGAAUAAGGAUCGGCUAACUCCGUGCCAGCAGCCGCGGUAAUACGGAGGAUCCGAGCGUUAUCCGGAUUUAUUGGGUUUAAAGGGAGCGUAGGUGGAUUGUUAAGUCAGAUGUGAAAGUGUGCGGCUCAACCGUGAAAUUGCAGGUGAUACUGUCAGGCUAGAGUACAGUAGAGGUAGGCGGAAUGUGUGGUGUAGCGGUGAAAUGCUUAGAGAUCACGAAGAACACCGAUUGCGAAGGCAGCUCACUGGACUACAACUGACGCUGAGGCACGAAAGUGUGGGUAGCAAACAGGAUUAGAUACCCGAGUAGUC